rnacentral:rRNA from 1 species
UACAGAGGGUGCGAGCGUUAAUCGGAAUUACUGGGCGUAAAGCGCACGUAGUCGGCUUUGCAAGUCGCGUGUGAAAGCCCCCGGCUCAACUGGGAAGGGUCACGCGAUACUGAUCGACUCGAAGGCAGGAGAGGGAAGUGGAAUUCCUGGUGUAGCGGUGAAAUGCGCAGAUAUCAGGAGGAACACCGGUGGCGAAGGCGGGUCUCUGGGCCGAUACUGACGCUGAGGAGCGAAAGCGUGGGGAGCGAACAGG